UACGUAGGGUGCAAGCGUUAAUCGGAAUUACUGGGCGUAAAGCGUGCGCAGGCGGUUUUGUAAGUCUGAUGUGAAAUCCCCGGGCUCAACCUGGGAAUUGCAUUGGAGACUGCAAGGCUAGAAUCUGGCAGAGGGGGGUAGAAUUCCACGCGUAGCAGUGAAAUGCGUAGAGAUGUGGAGGAACACCGAUGGCGAAGGCAGCCCCCUGGGUCAAGAUUGACGCUCAUGCACGAAAGCGUGGGGAGCAAACAGG
rnacentral:rRNA from 1 species